rnacentral:rRNA from 1 species
UACGUAGGGUGCAAGCGUUGUCCGGAAUUAUUGGGCGUAAAGAGCUUGUAGGCGGUUUGUCGCGUCUGCUGUGAAAUUUCGGGGCUCAACCCCGAACUUGCAGUGGGUACGGGCAGACUAGAGUGUGGUAGGGGAGACUGGAAUUCCUGGUGUAGUGGUGGAAUGCGUAGAUAUCGGGAGGAACACCAGUGGCGAAGGCGAGUCUCUGGACGACUCCUGACACUGAGGCACGAAAGCUAGGGGAGCGAAUGGG